AGCUUUGCGCAGUGGCAGUAUCGUAGCCAAUGAGGUUUAUCCGAGGCGCGAUUAUUGCUAAUUGAAAACUUUUCCCAAAAGAAAAUACAAUGAAUUGUUUUUAACUAAGAGGGUGG
rnacentral:snRNA from 1 species